GACAGAGGGUGCGAGCGUUAUUCGGAAUUAUUGGGCGUAAAGGGCGCGUAGGCGGCUUUGCAAGUGACGGGUGAAAUCCCUCGGCUUAACCGAGGAACUGCCUGUCAGACUGCAUGGCUUGAGACCGGGAGAGGUGAGUGGAAUUCCCAGUGUAGCGGUGAAAUGCGUAGAUAUUGGGAGGAACACCAGUGGCGAAGGCGGCUCACUGGACCGGUACUGACGCUGAGGCGCGAAAGCGUGGGGAGCAAACAGG
rnacentral:rRNA from 1 species